rnacentral:rRNA from 1 species
CAUGUCUUUUUGAUAAUAAUUUAAGGUCUGAUCUGCUCAAUGAUAAUUAAAUAGCUGCAGUAUUUUGACUGUACAAAGGUAGCAUGAUAAUUAGUUUAUUAAUUGUAAACUAGAAUGAAUGAUUGAACGAGAAAAUUUCUGUCUCUUUUUAAUUUUUAAUUAAUUUAACUUUUAAGUUAAAAGGCUUAAAUUUAGGUAAAAGACGAGAAGACCCCAUAGAGUUUAAUUUUUAAUAAUUAAUUUAGACUUAAUUUUUGUUUGUUAAAAAAUUUGUUGGGGUGAUUUAAAGAUAAGAUUAACUCUUUAAAUUUUUAUCAUAGAUUUAUGAAUAUAAAAUCUGGAAUUUUCAAUUUUAAAAAAAGUUACCUUGGGGAUAACAGCGUAAUUUCUUUUAGAGUUCUUAUCGAAAAAGAAGUUUGCGACCUCGAUGUUGGAUUAAAGUUAAGUUAAGAUGCAAAAUUUUUAAAUUUAAGUCUGUUCGACUUUUAAAACUUUACAUGAUCUGAGU